CGCUGAUUGGCUGGGAGUCUUCGCGUCACAACAGCCAUGGCCACCUGUCAGCCCCACGCCAUGGCCCCGCUGGCUCCCACUUUUUCUUGCCUCCACGAGCUUGCCAGGGACUUGUGGAGUGUAAUUUGAGUUGCCCUGACACAACAUGUAAGGGGCAGAAACAAGAUUACAGCACCCUAUACCUACCACGACAUGCUACUACACACAAUACUAGCACAGCCAUACCAAGAAAACAAGGUGGACAUUUUAGAACUAUUGUUAUGUAAAGAAGCAAUAAGAAUGUGAAGUCAAGAAAGACCUGAUCAGAAGAAUGUGGAGGAAGAGAAGAAGAAAAGAAAACUGACCUCUUUUACAAUACACAAGUUACUGGACCCCUCCUUUUUACACAGACUACUACUACUAUAUUGCAGCUUUAAUCAAGAAACUUGAAACAGAUGCAUAAAUGGAAGGAAGGAAAUUAAAUAUAUGCAAGAAUUUUGGAAGAAUCGCUUAAAAUCCGAGAAGAGACGGCAGCACUCAACCAGGCACAAGAAAAUCAAGAAUAGGCUCCGAACUGCACUGAACUGAACUGUAAACUGAAUCAGAAGGGAGAUAUUAAAUAUACUCAAGAAUUUUAGAAGAAUCGCUUAAAAAUCAGAGAAGAGAAGGCAGCACAACCAAGCACAAGAAGACCAUUUAGAGGGGCAAAGGCAACCCUCCGAACAGAACUGGAAACAAAUGGAAGGGAGGAAAUUAAAUAUACUCAAGACUUUUGGAAGAAUCACUUAAGAUUGGAGAAGAAAAGGCAGCACAAGAAAGCCAAGGCACUCCCUCCAAACUACACUGCACUGAACUGACCUGGUUACGGCGCCUGUACAAGUGAUAUGGGAUGGAGUACUGGCGGCAGGGCGGCUCUACAAAAGCUGCUGCGGGAGUGCUGCCCUCCACAGCAAGCAAGGGGCUGCCCUGCCCAGACCACAGCAAGAGGAGGAAGAGCUCUGCAUUACUAAGUUAAGUACCUCACUAUGACAUUCUGAGGGUUUGGCCUCAUUUUUGCCUUCUAUUCAAAACUUUUUACUUUCUAACGAACCUUAAUCUUUUUUCUCAGUCUGCCUCCUCCUCCUCCUUCAACUUCCUUUACCUCCUUGUGUGAAUCUGUCCGUCCCGAGAUCCAGCGAGACCAUCCCGACGUCGUAACACCCGUUUGGGAGUGGGGGGACUCAUGAAGCUGGGGGCGGCAGCCCUAAGGUGGGGAGGGUUGCGCCGACACCUCCACUCCGUUUCGGCGGAAUGUGGCUGGCUAGGGUGGCCUGAACCACUGUCUGGGUUGUUUGUCGUUCAGUCGGAUUGAGGAUCUGCCUCCCUUGAGGUGCACAUGUCAUAGUGGUGGCAGAAGAGAGAGUGAGUGAAGCUGAUGUCAUCCCGACGUCGUAACACCGUUGGGCGGGGCGGGGCUCUCAUGUCAAGUCUCCCCGCGGUGCACAUGUCACAGAGGUGCAAAUAGCAUGGCCUUCUUUCCUAUCUUUUCCCCCUCCUCCUCACCCCCCCCCCCACACACACACCUCCUGCUGUUAUAUCGUCACCCUCAUAAAGUAAUUGCCUAAGUCAUUUUUCAGUGAUUUCCAUUUAUGUUAAGUUGUCUCAGAUAUUCAGGGUUUGAGUGUUCUAGAAUUAACCUUUUUAUUUCUGCCUAAAUCUUAAGCCAAAUGAGAUGAUGAUGUUCUCUUCUUGAAAAAUAGAAAUUAACGACUUAGGCGGUUUCUUUACGAAGGUGGCGAGAUUGUAAUAGGUUUUGCACCCUCUGUUUAGGGAUGUGCACUAAUUUUCGUCUCUUCUCUUCCCCUCCUCCUCCCCUGGCUGGCUGGGGAACGGAGGAGGAGCACUAGGACGAGGAGGUGAAGGGAGGCGCAGCAGGAACAGAAAGCUGCUAUGGGAGUGCUGCCCUCCACAGCAAGCAAGGGGCUGCCCUGCCCAGACCACAGCAAGCAAGGGGCUGCCCUGCCCAGACCACAGCAAGAGGAGGAAGAGCUCUGCAUUACUAAGUUAAGUGCCUCACUAUGACAUUCUGAGGGUUUGGCCUCAUUUUUGCCUUCUAUUCAAAACUUUUUACUUUCUAACGAACCUUAAUCUUUUUCUCAGCCUGCCUCCUCCUCCUCCUCCAACUUCCUUUACCUCCUUGUGUGAAUCUGUCCGUCCCGAGAUCCGGCGAGACCAUCCCGACGUCGUAACACCCGUUUGGGAGUGGGGGGACUCAUGAAGCUGGCGGCGGCACCCCUAAGGUGGGGAGGGUUGCGCCGACACCUCCACUCCGUUUCGGCGGAAUGUGGCUGGCUAGGGUGGCCUGAACCACUGUCUGGGUUGUUUGUCGUUCAGUCGGAUUGAGGAUCUGCCUCCCUUGAGGUGCACAUGUCAAAGUGGUGGCAGAAGAGAGAGUGAGUGAAGCUGAUGUCAUCCCGACGUCGUAACACCGUUGGGCGGGGCGGGGCUCUCAUGUCAAGUCUCCCCGCGGUGCACAUGUCACAGAGGUGCAAAUAGCAUGGCCUUCUUUCCUAUCUUUUCCCCCUCCUCCUCACCCCCCCUCCCCCACACACACCUCCUGCUGUUAUAUCGUCACCCUCAUAAAGUAAUUGCCUAAGUCAUUUUUCAGUGAUUUCCAUUUUUGUUAAGUUGUCUCAGAUAUUCAGGGUUUGAGUGUUCUAGAAUUGACCUUUUUAUUUCUGCCUAAAUCUUAAGCCAAAUGAGAUGAUGAUGUUCUCUUCUUGAAAAAUAGAAAAUAACGACUUAGGCGGUUUCUUUACGAAGGUGGCGAGAUUGUAAUAGGUUUUGCACCCUCUGUUUAGGGAUGUGCACUAAUUUUCGUCUCUUCUCUUCCCCUCCUCCUCCCCUGGCUGGCUGGGGAACGGAGGAGGAGCACUAGGACGAGGAGGUGAAAGGAGGCGGAGGGAGAUACGACUCGAGCACAAGGAGGCAAGAGGCAAGAAGCAGAGACGCAGGAACAGAAAGGCAGCCAGAUGGUCGAUGCUGUGAAGAGGAGGAAGAUGACUGCAGGAGGCGGUGUGUGUGUGUCGGGGAAGGAGGCGACAGCACCACCCUCACACACAGCGGGUUAAGGCCUGCAAGAGAGCCCAGUCAACGAAGAGGAAAAGAAGACAAGAAGAAAGAAGAAAGAAGAGGGAAAACAGGAGGAAGGGAUAUUUUUUCUGUCUAUACCUGAAGUGUGAUGAAUUUACAAAGGGUAUAUUUAAGUCUGAUAUACUGCGGUUCAUUUAGAUAAGGUAUUUUAGGAUAUAUUUAACGGUACCAGUGUGAAGUUGGCAGGAGAGGAUACUCUUUCUGUCUAUACGAGAGGUCUGAAGUGUGAUGUAUGUAUCAAGGGUAUAUUUAAGUCUGAUAUACUGCGGUGCAUUUAAAUAAGGUACUUUGGAGAUGGUAAAAUGGUCUCCGACUCCUUUAUUGUGGUGCUGUGCGGUUCAUUUAUUGUGGUGUGGUAUGGUUCGUUUAUUGUUGUGCAGUAUGGUUCGUUUACUGUGGAGUCAAAUUUUUUUAUAUCCGACUCCACACCCAUGUUAGAGUGUAAGAGUAUUGAUUGAAUAUAUUUAAGGUGCUGGGGGAUACUGUGGUGCUCCUGUCUUAACAACCCAUUCUGCUUCUGCAUAAUAACCCGUAUUGCUAACGCAUAGCAACCCGCGUUUUUUCCGCUGUUGCAAUAACCCGUACUGCUGCAUGACGCAUAGCAACCCGUGUUUUUUUCCGCUGUUGCAAUAACCCGUACUGCUGCAUGACGCAUAGCAACCCGUGUUUUUUCCACUGCCGCAACGACCCGUACUGCUAUCGCAUAAUGACCCGUGCUGCUUCUGCUAUUGUAACAACUCUUACUGCUGCUAUUGCAAUAACUUACUGCUGCUUCCAUCAAAAAACUUGUAUUGUUUCCGCUGCUUCGAUUAUCACAACAACCCACAUUGCUGCUGCUGCUGCCCAUGCGCUGCCCAGAUCUUCAAACAGUGGCUUGGUUGACGUGCAGCGUUGGCCAAGCAGGUCAUGCAUCAUGGCAGUCACUAGAGAUAAAAUUCGCCUGCGCCACUUCUGCUUCUGCUGUCACAACCCGCUGUACGUUGCCAACUUGGCAACAACCCAACCGAUGAAUUUUCUGAUCAAAGAUCAAAGAGAGGAUUAGGCCUUCAGGGGACACCUCUUAAAUAAAAACGCGCCUGGGACUUUUACCUCAGAGGUGGUGUGGAAAAAAAGUCCAGUCACGAAAAUAAGUAUCUUAUACUCCAUGAAAGUGUCUCAGUCUUAUGAGAACACAAAGGUUGAGAGGGCUCAAACAUAUAAGGUUCUGUUGUUUCCUGCAUACACUACCAUGUUAGCAGUAAGGGUACUAAAUUCUGAUCUCUGUACAAAACAACCAAAUAUACAUAAUAAGGAAAAGAAAGUUGAAUAAAAUGUUUGCCUGCAUUCUCCGUCAGCAGCGUAGACGUAACAAGGGUUGAAAAAAUGAGUUAUUUAUUACAGCUGCUGGCCAACGUCUUGACCCCAGAGUCUUUGUAUUUGUCUCCGCGUCCUCUGCACUACACUGCAUAGAAUCUGGCGAGUCUGGGUUGUGACAGCUAUUUCCCAAAGCCUCCAAGGAUACCAGUCAGGUUUAUGAGUGUUUUUCGUGUUGUUGUGGAAGCCUUGUUGAACUAUCUAGGCUCGCAAAUCUACACACGGAAAUACUACCAACACAACCCAUAUGAAAGCCUUUCCUAAAACAUAAAACCUCUACCAGUGCCUUACCAGAAAGAACCAAAGCUUACCAAAUACCCAAAAAUCUCUACUAUUUGUGGUUAACUCAAGGUAUUGAAUUUUCACUUAUUUUUUUUAUACUGAUGUUAGUGUCCCUUAUAUGUCUUGUUAUUAAGGGGAAUGUUUGAGUCUAUUAUUUGUUCUAUAUAUAAGGUAUUGAAUUUGCACUUAUUUAUGUCGUGUCAUUGAGGGAGUGUUUGGGUCUCAUUUUUUUGUUUUGAUGCCCCUUUCAUGGAUCUAAAUAAUGACAUCCACCUUAAAUGAAAUGUAUGUGUCUGUGGUCAUUCCAAAGCUGAAGGUUGGUAUCUACUCCACUGGUUUUCAUAUGUUUUCUUGGACAGUUCAGAUUAUUAGCAAAUGUUUUUACCCGUCUGCUGUGAUUGGCACGGAUUUCGCCUUCACUGGUAGCCUGGUAACAAGUACUCCCAGAUCAUUCUCUGCCUCUGUGGUGGAUAGUGGAUUGUUUCCCAUGUGGUAUUGGUAUGCUGGAUAUCCCCUCCCAAGGUGCAGGACUAUAUAUUUUUCUUCAUUGAAUUGUAGCAGCCACUUUUUGCCCAAGGGAGGAAGGCGGUGCAACCACCCAGACUGCUGGAGAGAGAUGCCCAAUUUUUUCAAGGAGGAGGCCCAACAACGGGGCUGAGGGCGUCGGAAAGAGCCCACCUUUCCACUCCCAUGGCACCGGGCAGGUCUCGAACCCAUGCGCUCCCAGCACCCCACCGGGAGUGGAGUGUUUCCCAUGUGGUAUUGGCAGUGGUGUACCGAGGGAGGGGGCCAUGAAGCCAUGCCCCCCCCCCUUUGCAAAGAAAAAUAAUAAUGAAUAAAUAAAUGUUACAGGAAAAUAAUAGGAAUAUGUAUAUAUUAGUAUUACGAUUACGAAUGUGUGUGUGUGUGUGGAGUUGAGAGCUCAGUGGCACUGACUGACCGAGUCAUUUCGCCUUUGUUUUUGUUUUGAGUUAAUGGUAGGAUAUAAGGUGUGCUCUGAGUGAAAAAAAAGUAAGGUGUUAAAUGAUGGGUUCAUAAAAUUGUGUGUAGAGUGCGAUGUCAAGCUGUCAACUGGCAGAGUAGUAUUUGUAGCGGGAGACAGGAAGAAGAGUAGAAAUGCAACGUUUUGGAGUCUUCUGAUUAAUGUAAAAUCACUUAGGUUUAAGGACAGACCACCAAGUCUGGACCAUGGGGUCUGUGUGGUCUGAUUUUCUAUGUAAAUCUAUGUAAAAAAUGAGAUUGGGAUGGCUCUGGCAGAGAGAGAGAACGCGAAAGUCAUAAGUGUGCCUUCUCUCCUUCUUGCCUCUCAUAUUUACUUGAUUUUAAGUGUAAGGUGGAGUCAAAGUGAUUGGAGGACUGUGUACUGUAGAGGCACCAAGUGAACUUGUCUGGUGACAGUGAUGAGUACGUAAUAUGCUUGUGUAUUAUGAUGGGGAGAGUGGCAGGCGACGUGUAUGGCACCUGUAAGGUUGACCUUUGCCGCUGUAUUACCAUCUUUAAUGACCGUUUUGUGCUUGACAGUGUAUACAUACAUACAUACAUACAUACUUACAUACAUACAUACAUACAUACAUACAUUCUUUUUUCUCUUUUAUUUUCUUUCUUUUUUUCCUUCCUACACACACACACACACACACACACACACACACACACACCGCUCCGGUAGCUCAAUCUGUUAGAGCGCCGCGCUGCAAGGCUUCACGGCCAAACAGGCGGCGGUUGGAGCCCCGCUCAGGCCGGAUUCUUUCCGUUGACUAGGAGUGGUUACUGUCCCCCCCUUGAGCAAGGGGGAUGGGGGUGUGAGGUCCUGGCAGUACCCAGAGGUCGACGAUAAUGUUUACGUAUAUCUAUUUAUUUAUUUUUCUUUCCCGGCCGUUCAGAAGAUCACAUCCCCCUAUGGCCUGGCAGACCUUAUGUGUUCCGCGCCGCCUGUAAUGUAAGUGUGUGUGUGUGUGUGUGUGUAAGUUCUUUAUAAUUUUGUAUUUUGUCUUUACCUCACAAUUCCUCCUCAUUUCUCUCUAUCUCAUAUUAUCUCAAACUGUUAUAAUAUUCCUCACAAUCUCGUUUUAAUUUUCUUCUUUACCUAUAUUGCUAUAGCUGUACGUUCUUAAUUCAUUUCAUACGUUAAGUCUUGUUUCUAUUGUUCUUUAAUUGUAAUCUGCAUGUCUUAAUUUACCUUACAGUUAAUUGUUCCUUAUUUCUCCUCCUCAUAUUUCUUUGUUAAUCUUUUUCUUUAUUCUCACUCACCUCAAAACUGUUCAGCAUUUAAUUAUC